rnacentral:misc_RNA from 1 species
GAACAGACCGAGGAGAACAUAGUAUUUUGUUUCGUAUGUUUUUAAGAGUGCGACGAAGCUAUAGAGAGCCAGAGAAAUCCAGAAAAGUUGCGGCACAUCCACGUUGGCAUUGUGGGAGUAGUAAAUAAUU